GUGUUAUUCAGAAACUGUAUUGAUAUGAAAGAAUCAGGGAGAGAACUUCAGUGGCCAAUCAGGACAGGCACAGGAAAUUCAUGGUCCUCCUUCAGAUUUGGCUCUGUUUUUCUUCAGCUCUACUCUCAUCAUCCUAUAAAACUGACAGCUACCAAACAUUUGGAGAAAACAUCUUGGUUUGUCAUUUAUGCUGCAAUGCGUCAUUUUUUG
rnacentral:lncRNA from 1 species